GGGGCGUAGCGUUGUUCGGAAUUACUGGGCGUAAAGCGCAUGUAGGCGGACAUUUAAGUCAGGGGUGAAAUACCCGGGGCGUCAACCUCGGAACUGCCUUUGAUACUGGGUGUCUAGAGUGUGGAAGAGGUAAGUGGAAUUCCGAGUGUAGAGGUGAAAUUCGUAGAUAUUCGGAGGAACACCGGUGGCGAAGGCGGCUUACUGGUCCAUUACUGACGCUGAGGUGCGAAAGCGUGGGGAGC
rnacentral:rRNA from 1 species